rnacentral:lncRNA from 1 species
UUCCGACUUUAAUUAAUAUCUAAAUCUAUUUUAAUUAAUCUCUAAUAGAUUUAAAUAUUAAUCCUAAUCUAGUCAGAUUUAUCCUCUAAUUAAUAUUUAAAUCUUAAUUUAUCUCCAAUAGAUUUAAAUAUUAAUUAUUAUCCAAAUAGGAUUCAAUUACAAAUCUAACCAAAUCCUAACAGAAACCCUACUCUUGUUGGCUUGGUGGGUGCACUUUUAGAACAUUGAUGAAUAAUUUUUGAGAUUUUUUGAUAUCAUUUACUUAGUGAUCGAAAGCGUUCAAAAUCAAUAAUUUUUAAUGGUUGAUAUCUGCCGUUUUCAAGUUUAACGGUAUAGAAGUAUUCAAAUCAGAUAAAAUUUUAAUACAAAAUUCUUUAUACUAUCUAUAGCAAGAUCAAUAUUUCUGAUCGAAAAUUUUAGUGCUAUAUCACCGCUUUUUAUAGGAUUUUUAUUUUCAGCCGUUAAAAAUUAUUGAUUUUGAAUCCUUUUGAUUGCUAGAUAAAUGAUAUCAAAAAAUCGCAAAAAUUAUUUUCUAGAAACUUCAAAUACGCUAGAUUAAGUCUAACGGAGCCGAUCGUCGAUUCGGAAGUUCCAUCAUCAAAAACGGCUCAGGAGCACGGAGGCCUCCGUACUCCUGAGAGCACAGCAGUUCUGCUCUAUAUAUAUAUAUAU